GCAAUAUGGUAAAAAAAAAAGUAGUCAAGUCCAUAUCAAAAUCCAAAAUCUCUCUCUCUCUCUCUCUCUCUCUCACGCCGUUCACUUGGCCGCCAAAAGAGCAAGCGCAGAGAAGAUCACUCCAAGAGGGAGGGAGAGAGAGAGAGAGAGAGCAGAAUUUCAAUCUCUGUAGCAUCUUAUCACUUCCCUCACGAUUUCCCAACCCUUCUUCCGAUUUGAUUCCUGCCGCAGGUCUAGGGAUUUUGCUUCCCGACGAACACUAUUGUGCUUGGGCAGUUGGUACUGAUGGUCCAUUCUUAAACUGGGCAGAUCAGGCGAGGAUGAUUGUUUCUUAUUCUCAUUUUGCUACUGAGAAGUAGUGAUUUUGUCUAAUUUUCAUUUAGUGCCCGGGGAGAAUUAUGCUUGAAUUGGCUGAUUUUUGGACUUAUUGAAGUAGAAUGGCUGAGUAAUCUAAGAGCAGGUCUAGCUUGUUUAAGUCAUUGUGCUCCGUGACUGAUAUGAUGGUUAAGGAAAAUUUGCUGCAGAGGGUAGAUGACAAUGCUAAAGAGAAUGAUUGUUUAACUAUUGGGAGUGAAGAUUUGGGUUCUCAGUCUCGCCACAGUGUAGGGAAGGAAUCUGGGGCCAGUUGUCGUGUGUGUCAAUGUGUUGAAUCUGACAGAAGAGGUGAUGCUGUUUUAGGAUUUCUGGGCAUCACUCCUCCAAUUAUGGAAGCAAGGAAAUGCGAUGGGGAUUCUAAGCCUGAGAAGCAAAGUGCAGAAAAUGUUGAUGGUGGUUCUGUGCUGAAAAAAGAUGUUAAAGAGGAUUCUGGUUCAAUUAAGUUCAUAGGGCCUAAUGGGGAGGUUUUCAUUUGCAAAGCUGAUAUUGAGAUGGGUUCAUGUCAUCAUGAAGAUGCAUUAGUGGAGCUUGGGUGCUCUUGCAAGAGUGACCUUGCACUUGUACACUAUGCAUGUGCUCUUAAGUGGUUUGUAAGCCAUGGAUCUACAGUUUGUGAAAUCUGUGGAUGUAUUGCAGAAAAUAUUAGAACCGAUGACUUUAGAAAGGUUGUGAGUUCUUUGAAAGAAUAUGAAGCUUUAAGGGAGAGAACUGUUAGUGGGAUACCUAAUCCUAUGCAGCCUACUGCUAGUACUGAUAUAGAUCCUGAUGCUGUUGCUGCUGUCCGCAGGCAGCGGCUAAGUGAAAUCUCGUUGUGGUUCAGUCCUCAUAAUUAUAGUAGCAACAAUAACUCUACUGCAGCCUCCCAGGUUAUUUCUGAACAUCUGAAUACCAUCUCGGAAAAUGUUGUUCAUGCUGAAAAUCCUGCAACCAGGUGGGCUGUUGAGGGUACUGGAAUUCUCCUUGCUACAGGGCUGCUUACUGUUACGCUUGCUUGCCUAAUAGCUCCUCGUGUGGGGAAGAAAACUGCGAAAAGUGGCCUUCAUAUUCUUCUUGGAGGAGUUUGUGCCUUAACAGUUGUGGUUUUCUUCCGCUUUUUUGUGCUUACCAGGAUAAAAUACGGACCUGCACGAUACUGGGCCAUUUUGUUCGUCUUUUGGUUCUUGGUGUUUGGUAUUUGGGCGUCGAGGACACACGCUGCUCAUACGACGUAACUGGGUACAUUCUGUACAUUCUAUUUGGUUGUUUUUCGGUUCUUCACUUCAAGGUGAUCUCUCAAAAUAUACAAGUGUUUGAUACUUCUUUAAGAUAUAUCUCGGAGUUCAAAAUCACAUCCAAAUAUGCCUAUGCCUCAAGAAUUGAAGAGUGGAAGAUUAGCUUUACACCAUGCGACGAGAAGAUCUCAUUCAGUGCUUGCUUGCUAAAUAAAUUUUUUAAUCUUUCAAGAUUUUCCUAAGUUUCUAGUUUAAGCAUUUUUUAGUAUAUAUUUUCUGUUUUUUAUUUAACCAUUAAGUUAGUUAAUUUGUGUCAGUUAAUUUCCUAGUAUUUUUGGUAAAAUUUCUAGUCGAGUAUGGAAAAUUGUUUGUUCUCUUCGUGAUGUGAAGAACUUAGGAGUGUAUUGUGUGAGGAAAUUGAAAAAAUAGGGUGCAAAUGUGAAUGAUGCGUUGACGAUGCAUUAGUGAUGCGUGAAGGGACGUGUGAUACUCCUCUUUAUGCGUUCAAGUUUUCCUGAAUCAAAGCUAACACAGAGCUUGUGUUGUAGCUAAUGUAGAAGUAUCCUAAGUGAAUGCUGAAUGGGUUAUCUACACUAAGUUUGUUGUGUGCGUGCAAGAAGAUACAAAAAGGUCAAGUGGAAAAACAGGGGGUCAUGUGAAAAUGGUGUUCAGUGCAAGUGGUAUGCGUCGAUCUAAGUGAAAUGUACACGUACAAGAAUGUGGUGCAGAUGGAAAUGACUUUGCUUGCUUAUAACUCUAUAAAUGCAUUAGGUUUUUGCUUACUUUUUAUUCAGCACUCCUCAAUGCGAAUGCCACACAAAUUCCUAUCUUUAGGAUGCAUGCGUUAAUCACAAAAUACAAUAAAAGUGCCUCUAUCUCUAGAUGUACCAUGCGUUUUUAACUUUAUAUUUGCUUGCUUAUUCUCUCGAAUAAUUCAAGCUAAAAUAGCUUUUAUCAAGUGAUUAUGUUGGCUUAAGCGCUUAGAAAUGGACUUUGCAUGAAGUUAUAGAUGCAUCUAACACAAGGCAAGAAAUAAACAGUAGCAAAGUGUAGUCGAUCAAAUAUGUGAAUUCAUAAAGAACCAUAUUGUCUUUAUAAGAUCAAUACUUAAUCGAAUGCGAUGAAGAGAAUAGAAUUGAGAUGAAAAGAAAAGAGUCAAGCUGCAGAGUACAAUCUUUUAUCCUCUUUGGCUUAAUUUAAAUUCGUGUACAACUAGCUUGUAGAAGAAAUGGAAGAAAAUUCUCUCUCGAGCUAAGUUUCUCCACUCCUUGAUCAAUGGUGGGGGUGGAUCUUUUUCUUGUGUUCUUGUCACAGCAGCAAAGCUCUAAGUCUCUAAAUUUUGGAAUGAUACAAAUGAGCUGAUCUUUUUCUUCUGGUAGGAUUUCUUCUAUUUGUAGGCAUUGCUCUUCAUCAGCUUGAUGAUGGGGCGACAAUAAAUUCUAUACCCUAGUCAACCGCUUGACAUUCAGACACUUUUCAGACGCUGCUAGCUACGGAUGCCCAUGCUUGCAAGUGGUGAUUUGACACAAACAGCUUGAGUCAAUGAAUCUUUGUUGCUUUGAAAUCCCUCCGACGCAUGUCCAUGCGUUGACGUUACUUGCGAUACUUAGAAUCUUUGUUGAAAUCCUGCAAUAUUAUGCAUUAGUGACGUAGCUUUCAACAAUAAACAUUCUUUUGUAUGAGUUUGGUAGUGCUUAAGUAAUUCCAUGCGUUUUCUCCAAGAAUGACAAGAUUUUAUCAUUAAAAACCAUAAUUGUUCCAACUUUGGAGAGACAAUAACUUGUAUUUCUACAAGUUAUAAAAAAUUCACUUCCUCCAUUUAUUGCUCGUCA